UUUAAUAGUAUUGAGCCAUCCUAUACUACUAUAGAACCUAUUAUGCUAAAAUUAGUAACAUGAGGACCCCCCUCUCUAUGAUUCGAACAUAAGUCAGCUCGGACACACCACUGACAAUUAACGCCAGUGAACUAACAACGGCAACACAACAAGAAAACCCCGCUCACUCUCGCGUUAACCUAACACAAGUGAAUCUCAAGAAAGAUUUUAAAAAGCGGAAGGAACUCGGCAAACCUCAGCCCCGCCUGUUUACCAAAAACAUCGCCUCUUGCCCUAAUAAGAGGUCCCGCCUGCCCAGUGACCUAAUUCAACGGCCGCGGUAUCCUGACCGUGCGAAGGUAGCGUAAUCACUUGUUCCUUAAAUAGGGACUAGUAUGAAUGGCACCACGAAGGCUGCACUGUCUCCCGCCUUUAAUCAGUGAAAUUAAUCUCCCCGUGAAGAAGCGGGGAUAACACCAUAAGACGAGAAGACCCCAUGGAGCUUUAAACUCAAGGACACCUGCUAACACCACCUCAAGUCAAGCAUCUUGAUCCUACGUUUUCGGUUGGGGCGACCGCGGAGAACAACUUACCCUCCAUGCUGAAAGAUUUUAUCUUAGCCAAAACAACCCCUUUAAGCAUCAGAACCCUGACAUCCAUUGACCCAAUAUAUUUGAUCAACGAACCAAGUUACCCUGGGGAUAACAGCGCAAUCCACUUCAAGAGCCCCUAUCGACAAGUGGGUUUACGACCUCGAUGUUGG
rnacentral:rRNA from 1 species